ACGGUAACAGGAAGAAGCUUGCUUCUUUGCUGACGAGUGGCGGACGGGUGAGUAAUGUCUGGGAAACUGCCUGAUGGAGGGGGAUAACUACUGGAAACGGUAGCUAAUACCGCAUAACGUCGCAAGACCAAAGAGGGGGACCUUCGGGCCUCUUGCCAUCGGAUGUGCCCAGAUGGGAUUAGCUAGUAGGUGGGGUAACGGCUCACCUAGGCGACGAUCCCUAGCUGGUCUGAGAGGAUGACCAGCCACACUGGAACUGAGACACGGUCCAGACUCCUACGGGAGGCAGCAGUGGGGAAUAUUGCACAAUGGGCGCAAGCCUGAUGCAGCCAUGCCGCGUGUAUGAAGAAGGCCUUCGGGUUGUAAAGUACUUUCAGCGGGGAGGAAGGGAGUAAAGUUAAUACCUUUGCUCAUUGACGUUACCCGCAGAAGAAGCACCGGCUAACUCCGUGCCAGCAGCCGCGGUAAUACGGAGGGUGCAAGCGUUAAUCGGAAUUACUGGGCGUAAAGCGCACGCAGGCGGUUUGUUAAGUCAGAUGUGAAAUCCCCGGGCUCAACCUGGGAACUGCAUCUGAUACUGGCAAGCUUGAGUCUCGUAGAGGGGGGUAGAAUUCCAGGUGUAGCGGUGAAAUGCGUAGAGAUCUGGAGGAAUACCGGUGGCGAAGGCGGCCCCCUGGACGAAGACUGACGCUCAGGUGCGAAAGCGUGAGGAGCAAACAGGAUUAGAUACCCUGGUAGUCCACGCCGUAAACGAUGUCGACUUGGA
rnacentral:rRNA from 1 species